CUCCAGAAACUUUGGGAACGUGUCUUACAAGUCUGAUAUUUACAGUUAUGGAAUGCUGUUGUUAGAAAUGGUUGGUGGGAGAAAGAAUGUGGACUUGUCUUCUCCACAAAAUUUCCAUGUUCUAUACCCGGAUUGGAUCCAUAACCUGGUUGAUGGAGAUGUACAUAUCCAUGUUGAGGAUGAAGGUGAUGUUAAGAUUGCAAAGAAACUAGUAAUUAUUGGGCUUUGGUGCAUUCAGUGGGAGCCAGUGAACCGUCCAUCCAUAAAAUCUGUGAUACACAUGCUACAAACUCAAGAGGAAAACCAGUUUGUUGUGCCUCCUAAUCCAUUUCAAUCAACAACUUCCACUACAGUUAAGGGACUCAGUUCUACUAGACGACCUUUGCAGUUGGAAGUGAUUCAAGAAUGAUUUACACCAGAAAAAAUUAAUGUUUAACUUUUAGAAAAAUUAUGGUCCAUUAUUUUAUGAAAUAUGAUGACGAAAUCUAUAACAUCUAGUCUAUAAACGUAUUUUGUAGUGUUAUAAACAAUAAUGAAAUAAAUGAAUAAAUUAGUUUGUUAAGUAUUUUUGUCUGAUUCAAGGUUCAUUUGGUAAUCAAGAAAACUUGUUGGUCAUGAAGAAAACUUGAAGCCACAAGUGAAAAUGUUUUGAUGAUGAUGACCCAAGAUAAAGAUGUUGCAGACAUCUUAUAAUAUUUUUAUUUUCUCUUUAAUUUUAAUUGCAAUAUUGUUGUUUGAAUCCUUAUUGGAUUUGGUUAUCAUUCCCAUGUUGUUCAAUACUUAAGAAAUUGUAACUUAAUAUAAUUUAUAUGAUAGCUUGGAAACAAUUCUAGUAGAUGGAACAAAUCUAAUUACAAAAUAAAAAUUCAAAUUUAUUAGACAACCAAGGAAGCUAGUUAUAUAAAAUAGAAAAGCAUAAUAAAAUUGAAAUCCUUUCUAGAGCUAGUUUGUUACUUCUUUAAGGAUUGUUGAGGUUUUUCUAGGUGGUACUUAUAGAGGUUCAACUUACUGGUAUUUUUACUAUUUUUAACACUAUUUCUAAUGUAAUUUUUGUUAAGUUUUGCAUGAUUAGGAUCGCUAUUGAAUUUGUCCAUUUCAAAGUAGAUUGUAUAUUCGGAAUGCUAGCACCAUCAAAUAAUCCUGCAAUAUUUGCUAAAGAAGUAGUAGAACACCAUUUAUCAUAUUCCAGAAAUUAAUAAAAGUACCUGUACCAAUAGUCCAAGAAGUAUUAUCAAGUAUAGUAUAGUAAAACUGCUUAAUUCUAGGUCAAGAAGAUGAGGAUCUAUAAACCAUUCUAAACUCGUAUUUAAGAACCCUGACUUUUAGGAGAAAAGACCAAGGCAUGUUGUUAUAAGCAAAGUUCGAAGCAAACUUAAGAAGAUACACAUUAUUUUCAUGAUGAAGGUUAAUAAUCUUCAAACCUCCAUUCUCAAGAGGUGAACAAAUCGUCACUCAAUUAACACUAGCUAUGCCUUUUUUCAGAAUAUUACCAGUCUAAAUAAAAUUUCAACACCACUGCUCAACUUGCUUAAGAAGUGAAACAGGUCAUUUAUACAUAUUAAAGCUAUAAGAUAGAAAUCUAGUAAUCACUGUAUUGACCAACUGAAUCUGACCCAUCAUGCUAAGAGAUUUACCUUUCCAAGAUGUUAGAUUCAAUUUGACUUUAUCAGCCAAAGGUUGAAGAAAUCGACACUUUGGAGCACCAACAAAGAUAGACACUCCUAAAUAAUUGAAAUGAAAACAACCACGACUACAAGAAAGAAUACGUUGAAUUUUGGUGACAAAAUCUUGCAUAAUUAUCCAUGGUGAAAAAACUACUCUUAGAAUUAACAUAUAUUAUUGACCUAAAAAAUCACCAUAUAUUUUAAGAAAAAUACUCAAAUUUCUAAGAGACUUAUUAUUCGCCCUACAGAAAACAAAUAUGUCAUCAACAUAUAAAAUAUGAGAGAGAGUGAGAUAACCUUACGAACUAGUCAUAUGUAGAAUCUUCUUAUCAUUCAUAAACUUAGAGAUACCUCUACUGAGAACUUCUUCUGCAAGACAAAAAAGUAAAGGAGACAAAGAAACACCUUGUCUAACACCUUUACUAUAAGGAAAAAAACCCAACAAACUGUCAUUUGUACUAAUCCAACUGACAAACGAUGGGUGAAAACCAAAGCGUGUCAAAACUAAUAAUAAGAACUUCCAACUCAUAGUGGUAAAGGCUUUAUGAAUAUCAACUUUGUAUGGCACAUUACCUCCUCUUACCUUUUUAGAAAACAUGUUAAUAACUUCAGAAGCAAUACCAAUACAAUCCUGAAUAUGUCUACCCUGCACAAACCCAUAUUGAUUAGGAGAAAUGACUCUAGCAGCCACAAGUGCAAGCCUAUCCGCCAGUAUCUUGGAAAUAAUCUUAAAUUUGAAAUUAGCAACAACAAUUGACCUGUAAUCUUUAAUGGAUUCAACACCCUGAAUCUUAGGAAUAAGAGAUACCACAUUUUUGUUCAUUACAGGGAGAACCCAAUUUUGUUUAAAAACUGUUGAACAACAUUGCAAACACCUAUCCCAAUAAUUUCCCAGCAAGAAUGAUAGAAAACACCACCAAAACCAUCAGGACCAGGAGCACUAUUACCAUUAAGAUUAAAAAGAGCAUUUUUUUAUUUCCAAAAAAUCAGGACAUUUAAUCAACAUCAUAUUCUCCUAAGAGGAAACUAGUCCAGGAAUAUAAGUACCAAUAAAAUCUUCCAUAUUUCUUGUAUCUUGAACAUUAGAAAUAGACUCAGCAUAAAGAUUUGUAUAAAAGUCCAAAAUAUGAUCCUCAGUGAGUUUAGGUUCCUCAAUAACCUCAUUAUCAAUUUGUAGACGAUGAAUCCCACUAGAAUUAUUUCUCCUCUUGACCACAACAUGGAAAAAAGCAGUAUUUCUAUCCCCAUCUUUAAACCAAAGCAUCUUGCCCUUUCUUUCCAAAAAAAAUAUUGACAAUGAAAAGCAUGAUCAAGUUCCUCCUUAGCAAUCUUUUCUUGACAGAGAAACCCAUUAAUAUCAGACAAACUAGCAGACUCUAAGGUUUGUUGAAUACCAAGGAAGAGACCCUGCUUAAGAAGAACUGCAUUUUGAACAUUACCAAAAGAAUUUUUAUUCCAGUUUCGGAGCUCAAUUUUCAACCUUUUUAACUUAUGUUGCAAAAUAAACAUAUGACAACCAACAACUUUAUUAGCCUAAGAAUCAUGAAUAAUCUUACAUGAAGUGUCCUGAAGUCACAUAGAAAAGAAACAAAAAUUGCUAACCUUCCUUAAACAAUUACUAGCAAGACUAGCAAGAACAUGGGAAUGGUCAAAACAAUUUUUAACAAGAACCUAAUAAGUACAAGAAUCACAUUCAUCCAGACACACUCCAUUACAUAAAGCCCUAUCCAGUCUUCUAUAACAUCUAUGCAAACCUCUCCUUCCAUUACACCAAGUAUAACAAGGUCUAGUAAAAGGUCUACAAGAAAGAUCAUUAGUAUUAAUCCAAUCAAGGAAUUCAUUACGAGAAAUCUGAUUAGGAGCCACCCCCCUUUGCAGUCAUCCGCCGAGAGCACAACAUUAAAAUCUCUCAGAAUACACCAAAGCCCUAUGAAGAAACUAAAAUCCCUCUAAAAAAACCAUCUAACUAAGUAUGUGUUGGCACCAUAAACACCUGCAAAGUUAAAGCAUUUAUCAUACAAAAGGCAAGUUACAAAAAUAAAUUGAACAUUGACCAAGAAAUUUUGGACAAGAUUUGGAACCGACAAACACCAAAGCUUAAAAACUUUAUUAAUAAUAGGAGACGUAGUCACCAAAUGCAUAUUAACAGAUUUGAAAAGGACAUCGAAAGCAUCAGUGUAUGGCAUCAUAGGUUCAGCAAGAAAAACAAAAAGGGGUUUAUGUAGUUUAAGUAAGCUAAUCAACAUCUCCACAGUUUUGUGGUUUCUCAGUCCUAUAACAUUCCAGAGAAAUGAAGAGACCUCUAUUGCGACGUUUUAGAGAGAAUUGCCUUAGUAGUUUUUUUUUUUUUAUUUACUAGUCUCCUUAGGUGGUCUCCCUAGUUUUCUUUUAGUGUAAACAAUUUCCUCCCUAGUAUCGCUGGCAUGCUCCUCCAUCUCAUUAGGAUUUGCCCAAAAUUUGGAGACUACCUGAUUUUCAACAGUUAUAUGUUCAAAAUUAAAUUCAAUAACGACAGUCGAAAUAAUUGGCGUACCAGUAUGAGGAUCACCUCCUGCAUCUGUAGUUUCCAAACCAUCAAGAGAGGACAAGUGAUUUUGCAAGACCAACAUAUCGUUAUCUGAGAGUAGUGCUUUAGCAUCCCCAAGUGAUUUAGCCUUCCGAGGAGAGGUAUGACGCGACAGAGAUGGUACAACCAUAAUAGUAGAGAUUUGCACAUGAUGACCAUCAAUAUAAGUUGUAACUGGUGCUUUAGCAUUCCCAAGUGAUUUAGGCUUCUGAGGAAAGGUAUGACGCGACGGAGAUGGUACAACCAUAGUAGCAGAGACCUCCACAUGAUGACCAUCAAUAGGAGUCAUAACUGAAUCUACUACAAGUUGUGACUCUAAGCCCUUGACUUGCAUAACAACCGGUGAAUUUCUUACCAUCCCCGGUUCUGAAACUUUAACUGUAUCAGAAGUGGGAGUGAACAACCUGUGCCUGGGUGAGGACCUAUCAUGAUCCGAGACAUCCUCGAGAGGAGGCAUAUCUACAAAAUCAUCAUCCCCUCCAUUUGUUUUAUCAUAAGAAAGGUGACCCAAGAGUGACCCCGCAUUAGCCUCGCCAGGAGCAUCAGUUGUCAAAUUACCAAUAGGGCCAUCCAUGAGCUUCGACUGCGAAUCUUUGUUCCGAUACUCUUUAUGUUGUUUAGGAACCGCGAACUUCCUCUAUUCCUGUUCAUCAGGAGUUGUCUUCUGAGAAGGUUUAUGUUGUGGUCCAAGAACAUGACCCUGAUCAUGAAUCACGUGGCACUGAGAGCAAGCUCAUGCCCGAUCAUCUUACAGUAAGAGCAAAAUGGAGGGAGCCAUUCAUACUCCACUUCUGCUACAAAAGCAAAGUUUGAACGUUCAAGCAAGAGCUGAUCGGGAAAAGGGGACAACAGAUCAAUAUCCAUAAACACUCUAGCAAACAAACACCUAUUCUUUCUCAUGGUAUGAUCAUCCAAAGACAAAGGAAUUCUAAUGCCUCUGGUGAUGGAAAAUAUCGCCCUUGGUCUCCAAUAUUCCAAAGUCAAAUGGUAGAUUCUAACUCAGGUCUGGGUUUUAGUACUCUUCAUAGUAGAUGGAACAAAGUUUUUUUUUUUUUUCAGGCCAACAAUCCCCUAGCAAUCCUAUCUCGAGAGCCCACUGCAUGUCUUAUAAAAAAGGGAACUCAAACUCAUAAAAACCCUUCCCAAGAAACAUUGCUUUCCACAGUCUAAUAAUCUUCCACACAAGUUGCAACUUUUUAGUUAAAUCAAGGUGUGUGAGAGGUUUAUCCCCCUUAGAUAGAAUAAUCCAACCAUGUAGAUGGGUCUUGCAAUCCUCAAGACCUGCCAAGUAAUCUUCCUCAUCAACCCGGACAACAACCAUGUCUCCCAUAAUACAAGGAGUUGGUAACUGGGAAAAAGGAAUGUCACAUGUAUUUCCCAAAGCCUGAGCAAAAGUCUUCCUUUGGCCUAGAAUAACAAACACUUUCUUAUUAGGAAACACUUCUUGAUCCAUGAAACAGCCCAUGGGAUAUACAUACUCGUACUAGUAAAAUUCUUCGUCCUUUUCUUGUUAGAUGGGAGUUCCCUUCACUAGGCUAGGUUAAAAUUAACAUUGAUGGGGUUGCUAGGGGAUAUCCUGGUCUUGCUACUUGUGAAGGAAUUUUCCAUGGGAGUAUGGGGGAGUUUAUUGGUGCUUUCUAUGGUUUCUUGAAGUUCAGACUGUUAUGGUUGCUAAGUUUUAUGGAGUUAUACAUGCUACGGAGGAAGCUCAAAAGAUGGAGCUUACUAAUGUAUGGCUUGAAUGUGAUUCUACAUUGGUUUGUGUUGUGUUUACUGCUAGAACUAAUGUCCUGUGGAUGCUUCGUAUUCAAUGGAAUACUUGUCUUAAUUAUUGUGGAAAAAUCAGGUUUAGGAUUACUCAUAUUUUUCGUGAAGGGAAUGCGUAUGCUGAUAAGUUGGCUAAUUUAGGAUUUAUUCAUAGAGAAUAAUUUCAUUUGUAUAAUAGGCUUCCAUCUAGUUUGUUCUUAGAAUUCUUUAUGAAUAGGUAUAGUCUACCUAUGUAUCAUUUUUGUUAACAUAUGGGUUUUGGUCUAGUUCCCCCAUAUUUUUUUUAUAUUUUCUUUCUUUUUCCUUUUUUUAAAAAAUAUUUUUUUCAUGUAAUGGCAUAUGAUUGUUGUUACUUGAGAUGUUAACCUAACUGAGAUGUCAAGUGGCAUAAUGAUGUCUAACAUGAAAGCUUUUAUAUAUAAAAAAAAUAUGUAAUUCAUUAUGGUUGGAAUGUCACUUAGUGUUGUGGUUCAAGCUUUUUAUACCAACUUUGAGGUCCCUAGAAGUAGAUGGAGUAAAUGCAGUCUAUAAGUGAAAUUUUAGAUUUUAAAAGCUAAUUUGGCUAUUAAUACCAAGUAUGGUUUUCAUUGGUGAAAUUAUUCUCUUAUAUUCGACAGCUUUUUUAACAAAUAGAUUCGACUUUUUGAAAUAUAGUUAUUUAUAAAAAAAUUUCAUAAAUUUGACCUAAUUAUCUUAUAUUUGUUUUUUUAUUGGUUUAACAUCUCGUAAACUAUUAAUGUUGAUGUCAAUUUCGUUAGAAUAUCACAUUCAUUGUGAAUGCAUUUUUGUUUAUAGAAUAAAGAAAAGUAUACUUGAUGAAAAUAAAUUCACAUUUUUAAACAAGUAAUUCUAAAGUAGAGGAACUAUAGAUAACCUAAAAAACAUGAACAAACUCAAAAUGAAGUUAAUUAACAAAGACAUACACUAGCACAUAAAAGGUCAAAGACAGUAGUUCUUUUAGCAAUUAGACAGCGAUUUCGAAUUGUUGUCUAUCAACACAUAGUUUAUUCUAUUGAGGUAGAACCGCCAUCUAUAAGCCACAUAUAGACUAAAAAAAUAUUAAAUAAAAAAAUAAAAAGAACACCAACCUCAAGGUGAUGGCAGCGGUGAAGGACAACGACGACAACAGCGACAACGGUGGAAGGAAAGUGGAGCACAGUAGUGGAACAAUGAACAAGAACUUAAUUAAAAAUUGAACCAAUGAAAAAGAUUUGAAACUCAAUUCACCCCAUCUUGAGUUAAAACAAGUCAUUUAUCCUUUUAUAACAAUUGACAUUAGAGCUAUUUUUUGAGAAAUAUUCAAAACAGAGAUCCUAAAUGUUUUUAAAUGACUUUACAAAAUCAAAACCUUUUUUGGAAUGUGCUAUUAUGCAUAACAUUUAUCUAUGUGCAAUAUUCCAAUAAUAUCUAAAAAAGUCUUACUUAAAGGAUGUAAAAUGGAUCAUUUAGGAUCAAAUAAUUUGUGCUUGUGGUAUAAGAAAAAUGUAAGUUUCAUAUUAGAAGGUUUCUACCACACAAACUAUAUUAUAUGGAUAAAAAGAGGUCGAGUACAUGUCAAUUGUGAGCUACUGCUCACAACUUCUAUGGGUAAAGUAUCAAGUGAUAGAUUACUCUAGUUUUGAAAGCAAUAUUUCAAUAUUUUUUUUAAAACAAUAAAAAUACAAGGGAGAAUUGAAUUGUGUCUUUAAAAUUUCUUUGUUUUUCGUAAGUAUAGUGUGAUGUUUCACAGUCAGAUGAUAAGUUUAGUUUUCCAACAGAUGAAAACUUUUAAGUUUUGUAACCUUAGUUUAAACAUUUCACCCUCCUUAGGUUAGUUAUUCAGAUAACAUGCAAUAUACAGAGAGACAAAGGAGAAAAGUGUUUUAUACUAGUUUAUCUACCUCAAAAAACUACAUUCAAUUCUUGAUCAACCAGUCAAGUUCUACUAGGCAGACUAUUGUUGCAAAGUAUGCUCAACUAUUCUUUAAAAAAUUCAUUGAUGGAUUAACCUAAGUAUUCUCACAAUCCACUUUUGGCUCCUAACUACUUCUGUCUGACCCUGCUCAAGUAUACUUUCAACAAGUCAAUUUUAGCUUAAAUAAGUAUUUUUUUUAUGAGCCACUUUUGACUUUUACAAACACAAAGUUUGAGUGAUCAAUAUAUCACAAUUUUAACUCAUUAAAAAGGGUAAAGUCUUACGACAUAUACAAUGUUGAGAAGUUGGACGGUCUAUACCCUACUAGAUAGUUUGAUGAUCAGUUGAUCGUAUGUGAAUUAUGAGUUUUGAUGAUAAUAAAAAUAAAUUAAACGUUUUAUUUGUGAUAUGAACAUUCUAACAGUGUUUUGUGAAACUGCAGUUAUAGUAGACAAUCUGAAUAUCUAUAGAGCUUGUUCAACAGUUUGAUAGAUCAGUUAAAUGCUAAACACAUUUGGUUAAAAUAGUUUAUUAGUUGUUGUUAAUAGUAAAUUUCAUUCGUAUAAAUAAAACUUAUUUAAAGUAAAAAUAAAUAAAUAAAUAAAACAGAAAGAAAUUGAUUCAUUUGUUCUCUUGGCAAAAUCAUCAAAUUUGUGAUGUUCCAAAAAUAGCAAAUAAGGACUAAAAACAAAAAAUAAAUAAAAAGGAUAAUAAUGGCAAAUGGGUGUCAUGCUUUUUCGUGGUAUAAUAUUUUAAGAACCAGUCAACCUUUUCUUUUGAAGCAUUCAUACGCAUGUGUCACUUGAAAUCCUUUAUUUCCUUCUUCCAAAAAUGAAAGGAUUUGCCUUUGGUAGGUUCCAUCAUUGUCUGAAAUAGAAAAACAAGAAUAUAAAAAAUAUAGUAAUGCAUUCUUUCAAAUUAUUCAAACAACAUUGGUCGCUAAAAAGGAAUGAAAAGGAAAAGAUAAAAAGGAGAACAAAUGUAAAUAAUAUGAUGCUUGAAAUGCCUUAGAAGAGGGGAACAUUUCUUUUUCAACCAAAAGGACAAGUAGAAGAAAGUCACAUUGAGGCAAUCUUUUUUGUCCUAUAUCCUUUCUACCAUACAAAUAAACUAAUGCUCAUCCAUACCUCAUCCUACCCUUAUACAUAAAAUUUGGGAAAGCCUUCAUUUGUUAUAUUUGUGCCUCACACAUAUUCUUCCCUUUAAAGGAUAUAACAUUCUUUAUAAGAUGUUGUACCAACCUAGUUGUAUGGACAGCUGGGCUUCAGAAGUAAACAUUAAAUUUUAGAUGUAGUGUAUGUAAUAUCCAACUUGUAAACAUUAUGAAUUUUUACCUACUAGAAAGACUUUUCUUGAACCUACUUCGAAAAUUAGGCACGAAUGUGGCUUAAAGAUGACUUGGUAACCUUUCCACAAAGUUGGCUAAUGCUUGUGCUUAUGUUCUUUUACAUACAACACAUAUUUGAUAAGUAUUCAAUUAUGAUCACCAAUAUCACCUCUGCCAAGAAUACUUCUAUCAUUAUUGUCACCACAAGUGACAUAUCCCUCAUGUUUCAGUUGCAAAUCAAUCAAUUUUGAAGUGUCUCAAGACAUGUGCUUUGAGUAGUCACUAUCAAGAUACCAUAGAUGGUUUUUGGUUGUCAAUGAAGCCUGCAAAAUAGAUUGAAGGAACAGGUUUUGGUCCUCUUAUUAACUUAGGUCUAGAACUAUUAAUUGUACUUUUAGGUACCCACCUAAUUAAGCCAUUUCAAUUUUUCUUAUGUUGCAGUUUCUAGUGGUAUGACCUCUCAAAUAACCUAACAGGUGACAAAAGGUGAGGAUUGAGUUUUACUAAAUUUAAAAAUGUUUUUCUAUUAUUUUGUCUUAUUUUGAAAUUCAGGUUUAUACCUUAAACUAGCUUUAUCAAAUUUUUUUUUGAGAACCUAUUAGAGCUUCCAAAUUUUCUUUUCCUAUAAAAAAAAAACAUAAAUUUUUUUAUAAGAUAAUGAACUUUCUUUUUUUUAAACUUCACAAUUUUCACAGUUCUUCACUGAUUUACUAGAUUCAACACAUUUACAAGAAGAUUUUUUUGUACAUGAUCUCUAAAUUUUUAAAAUCAUACUUGGUAUUCUUUAACUUUUCUUCCAAAGUGUUGACCUUGUUUUUGAAAUAGUUGUUUAGGCCUUUUAAUCUAUUCAUUGAAAGAGCCAAUCUAUUUGCUUCCUCAUUAGUUUCCUUAAAUGAAUCUAACAAUUGACUAUAUUUUUCAUUAUUUUAAGAAGAGUUCAAUCUUACAUUACUAGUUCUAGAUUCAUAUCCAACCAUCAAGCAUAUGUUAACUUCUUCUUCUUAUCUAAAUGUGGAGUUGGAUGAUGACUCAUCAUUGUCUUACCAAGCUAUGUAUGCUCUUUUGGACUUUCCUCCUUUUUCAUGUUUCCUUUCAUAACCUUUUUCUUUGAUUGAAACAUUUGGACAUUGUAUUGCCACAACCAAAACAGGUGUAGUUAGAUGAACCAAAUUCAAUAGGAUUUUCUAAAUUUAUACCUUUUUGUUCACUGCACCUUAUUCUUGCCUUUCUUUUUUGGGAAUUUACUGAACUUUCUAGUCAACAUGUUAAGUGUUUUUGUAUCACUACAUUCAUUGGAUUCUUCCUCACUUUUGUGAAGACAAGAUUUUCGAGUAAUUCCUUUGGUCUUCUUAACUUCACUUUUCUGCUCAUUCAGUUUGUUCAUUUCAAUCUCAUGCUUUCUCAUUUUUACAAAUAGGAAGCUAUUGUUUGGGUGGUCAAAUCUCUUAAUUCUGAAAUAGUCGUGACCUUGGGUUGCCAUAUUCUAUCUAAGCACUUCAGAACCUUGAUAUUCAACUAUACCUUGAUAUUCAACUAUUCUCUAUCAAAGAUCUUCCCUAAACAAAUGAGAUGAUUUACAACAUAUGUAAACCAUUUCUACACAUAUGUAAUUCUCUCUCCCUAUUGCAUUCUGAAGAGUUCAUACUUGUGUAUCAGAGCAUGUUUUUCGGCUCUCUUUAUAUUUGAAGUUCCUUUAUGAGUUACUUCCAAAAUCUCCCACAUUUCCUUAGCCGAAGAAGAUUGUGAUACCCUAAAAACUUAAUUCAUAUUCAACGUAGAGGUUAUAAUAUUCUUUGGAGUGCACUCAUAUUGAGAUUUCUUUAUUUUCCAUUUCAAACCAGUCAACCCAUGGAUUUUCAACAAGUUCAUCAUCUAUGACAUGCUUAGGCACAAAAUAACCAUUAGCAAUUGCAUCCCAAAUACCCUGAUCAAUUGAUUGUAUAAAGAUCUUCAUUCUAACUUUCUGAAAUUGAUAAUUAACAACUCCAAACUUGGAUGACUUGUUAAUAGAGGCACCCUCAGCAUAAGGAAAUUUAUUCUCAACCAUUUUCAUAAAACAAGGACUGAAACUUUAAUAAAUUUAAAUAAUCUAGCUUUGAAAUUGUUAGAAUGAUAGGUCGAGUUCAAGAGAGGGGGUGGAUUGAACUUAAAAACAAUUUCUUGAAAAUAUAGUUUAGAAUGGAGUUCUUAAAAAAUCAAAUUAUUUGCGAAUAACAAAAUAACAAAUUAAAAUUUUAGUUCACUAGUAAAAAAUUUAAAAUUCAAUCGGUUAAAUUAGAUCUAAUCAGAAUAUCAAUUUGUUAAUUUUUUCUAAAACAUAAGAAUCAAUUCAAGAACUAAAUGCAAAAACGUAAAUAGAGAGAGAAAAAGGAUCACAAAAGAACUUUUAUACUACUUUCACUCUUUUAUUAGAGUUACAUCUAGUUUUUUAAUCAUACUAUUUGAGAUUCCACUAUGGAAAAAAUCUUUACAACACAAAGAAUACCAAAGAAAGAACUCUUGAACCCUACAAGAGUGUUAUACCCAACAAGAACUACAAGAAAAAAGGGUUUUAACUUUUGAACUCUUUUAUUGUUUGGAUAUGUGGAUACAAAAAUUCUAUUAGUAACUUUUAUCGUAAAUAGUACCAAUAAUAUAUAUAUAUAUAUAUAUAUAUAUAUAUAUAUAUAUAUAUAAAGUGAAAGUUUGUAAUUUAUUUGUUAUAUCCAUUUCUUAUAGUUGUGGUUGAACAAGCACAUGGAUGCUUAAACGAUAAAAUGAGUAAAAGAUCAAAUGUUCUUAGUUUCAAAACCUGUGGUUUUUUACGUGGGUUUUAAAACCCAUGAUAUUUUACGGGAGUUUUGAAACCCAUGGUAUUUUAUGGAUGUAAUAAAAUCCAUGCUAUUUUACGGGGGUUCUAAAACACAUGGUAUUUUACGAAUGUUUCAAAACCUGUGGGAUUUUAUGGAGGUCCUAAAACUCAUGGUAUUUUACAGAGAUUCUGAAACCCAUGGUAUUUAACAGAAGUUUUGAAAGACUUUUCCUGGGGUUUAAAAAAAGUCUGGGAAAACCUUCCCCAGGGAUGGUUGUGAAACUACAAUCUUAGGUAAAUGACUUAAUGAAGGUUUUAACCCUUGGUGAUGUAAAAAUAAACCCCUAUUAAAAUCAUUUUUUUUUCUUGUAGUGAAACAACACCCUGUUGCUAUUAUAAAAAUUAGAAAUACUAUCUAAUUUCAAUUCACCUACACUUAAGAAAAAGAAUCAAUGAAGAACUACACAUGAAUACAAGUAGGACCAACUAAGUUCCAAAAAUCCAGGAAAUAGUCCAAGAAUACCAUAAGAAUGCUCCAAGAAUAAAAACUUUUGCUCAGAGUAAAACCCUCUCUUAAAAACCUAAGUUCUCUAUCUUCAAAGUUUUUCAAAAGAUGUUUAAAAAAAAAAAACAUUUUUCAAAAAUUGAUUUGUAAAGUUUAAUGGAUUAAAAAUUCCAAUCAAUUUGUUGGUUUUUAAUUUGAGUUUUCAAUCUAUUAAGACAAAAUAGAUAACGAUAUCCUAAAAUUUUAAAAGAUUUAAAUUUGUUAAACAUAUAAAAUAAUAAUAUCCUUAAAACCAAGAGUUUUGAAUAUGUCAAACAACUAUUUUUAACAAAUUAAAUAUCUCUAUAGAACUUUUUUAGAUUGUAAGUAAUUUUAACAUAUUAAAACAUAAUUUCAAUGAGGGGUGAUCGAUCCUUCGGAAGUGUUCACUUUGGCACAAUUAAAGGCUUGGUCUUGAGUAACUUCUAAAACUGUUUCUGCUAGUUUUACUUACUCUGAGUGGUGCAUUGAUCCUAAGGCUUGUAUGUUUUCAAUAAAGUGAGCUUUUAUAAGAGUUACUCCUUCGGUUGGAUUGUUUGUUGUUCUAAGCUUCUGUUGUUCUUUUUGCCCCUUGUUGUGGUUGCAAAGAGAUUGUAUUGAGUUUGUACAGGUUAGAUUUGAAUUUGUACGGGUUAGUUUUGAAUUGGUACGGGUUAGUCUUGAAAGUGAACGGGCUGUACGGGUUUUUAGUGGUAGAUUUGUUUGUCUCUCUAUUUGUUGGUUUGAGAGACCAGAGAAAUUGUCUCAUGUUUUUUAGGUAUGUAUAAGGGUUGAACCACCCCUUAAGUGGUUCCUGUUAUUUAAUCCUUUUUGCUGAUAAAAAAAAACAUAAUUUCAAUUAAUUGAAAUUGUCUUAAUACCUAAGUUUUAAACAAUUUAAAAACAUUUAAAACAUUAUCCUUGGAUCAUUUCUUAUGAUUCAUUUAUGUUGAUAGUUAUAAGCAUACAAUUUUGGAUCAUCAUGAGGGUUGGAUUCAUGAAAUAUAAUUUGGCUCAAUCUUCGACUCCAACAAUAGGUGCAUAAGUGUAAAACCAAUUUUGGUGCAGGGUAAUGUGCCAAGUUGCACUUAAAUCCAUUAUCCACAUAACAUUGUUUUCCACCACUAGAGCUAAUUAUUGUUACUCUCGCCAAAAUAUGUUUGUCUUAUAAAGUACUUGCUACAGAAUCUUGUGAGGUUGAUCCUUCAAAGUUCUUUCCUCCAAUCUUUCUAUGUCAAUAAUCUUUCUUUGCAUGCUCUCUCUUGUCAUAAUGACAAUAUUUAAGAUGCUUCUUACUUAUAGAUAUUGAUCUAUCAUGAAUUUGUCUUCUACUAGAGCUACAUUUUUUUGAUCUACCUCUCAUCAUCAAAGCCUCGACUUGUUUCAAACUUUUCAACCUUUUUAUGUUACCUUUUUGUGACUGAAUUUUGCAUCAUGAAUAGCUUCGAUAACAUCCUCAAAGUUUAAGUGUCCAUUAAUAUUUUUAUUUUUGCUAUAUUGAUGAUUAGUUGAACAUUCAACUCAAGUAAACUUUAAAGUAGAAGCUUUCCACACUCAUUUUCAAGUAUGUUCAAAUUUACUACUUAAAGUUGGACAAAUAACAUAUUAAGGUUGUUGAUGUGGUUUAUCAUUGACUUUGAUUCACUCUAAAGAGUAUACAUUUUUUUCUUCAAGAACAUUCUUACGUGGAGUGACUUAACCUUGUACAAUUUUAUGAUAGACUCCCAAAUCUCCUUUAUAGUAGUAGUCUUUUCUACAAUACUGGACAAAAUUGCUUUUGGCAUUACUAAGUGCAAAUUUUCAAUAACAUUGUAUUAAUUUCUUUCCACCUUUGAUUCGUGAUAUUUAUUACAGUAAAUGAAGAUGAAUAUUCCUUGUCUGAUGUGAUGCUUUAAUGUAGCGUACGUUAUCGCACGUAAUCGUAAUGAAGAAAGAGAAGUUUUGAUGAACCCUAAUUGUAGAGAAAAAUAAAUAUAAAAGAAACUUUUAUUCACUUGUAUAUUAGAGAGUAAAAUACAUGAUGUAUAUAUAAGAAAAAGAUUAAGACCUAGCUGAAACAGAAAAGGAAAGUUGGGCCAAACAAACAAAGCCCAAUAAUUUAAAAUAGAAAAUUAAAUAUAUUAACACCCCCCUCAAGCUGGGGAGUAGAUAUUUGUCAGGCCCAGCUUGGAUUUGAGAGUAGAGAAUUGUGCGGAAGCAAGGGGCUUGGUGAAUAUGUCAGCAACUUGCAUUGCAGAAGUAAUGGGUAGUAGUUUGAGGAGACCAGAGUUAAGUUUUUCACGAACUAGGUGGCAAUCAAUUUCGAUGUGCUUGGUUCGUUCAUGAAAAACUUGAUUGGAAGCUAUUUGAAUGGCAGAUUUGUUGUCACAAUACAGGGUUGCAGGCUGGGAGAGAGGAAGAUGUAAAUCCUGAACGAGGUAAGACAACCAUUGUAACUCACAUGUGGUGGUGGCAAGGGCUCUAUACUCGGCUUCAGAGGAGCUGCGGGAGAUAGUUGGCUGCUUCUUUGAUUUCCAUGAUAUUAGGGAGUCUCCUAAGUAGAUGGAAUAUCCAGUGACAGAUUUGCGUGUGGUAGGACAUGUUGCCCAGUCAGAGUCACUAAAACCACAAAGGUAAAGUGNNNNNNNNNNNNNNNNNNNNNNNNNNNNNNNNNNNNNNNNNNNNNNNNNNNNNNNNNNNNNNNNNNNNNNNNNNNNNNNNNNNNNNNNNNNNNNNNNNNNNNNNNNNNNNNNNNNNNNNNNNNNNNNNNNNNNNNNNNNNNNNNNNNNNNNNNNNNNNNNNNNNNNNNNNNNNNNNNNNNNNNNNNNNNNNNNNNNNNNNNNNNNNNNNNNNNNNNNNNNNNNNNNNNNNNNNNNNNNNNNNNNNNNNNNNNNNNNNNNNNNNNNNNNNNNNNNNNNNNNNNNNNNNNNNNNNNNNNNNNNNNNNNNNNNNNNNNNNNNNNNNNNNNNNNNNNNNNNNNNNNNNNNNNNNNNNNNNNNNNNNNNNNNNNNNNNNNNNNNNNNNNNNNNNNNNNNNNNNNNNNNNNNNNNNNNNNNNNNNNNNNNNNNNNNNNNNNNNNNNNNNNNNNNNNNNNNNNNNNNNNNNNNNNNNNNNNNNNNUCCUGGAGGGAGAGGGGUAAGUUGCCAAGUAUUGUUAGCAGCAAGAGCUUGAAGCUCAUCUUGCAUGGCAGAUUGCCAAGAAGCAUGUUUGGAGGCUUCGUUAUAUGUCUGAGGUUCAGGAUGAGAAUUGAUAGAGGAAAUAACAUUUCUAAAAUUGGAAGAUAAGGAAUUGUAAGACAAGUAAUUAUGAAUAGGAUAUCUACUACUUACAGUGUUGGUUGCAGUGUGGAAAUCUGCAAGAUAGGCAGGUUGUCGGGGAGGACAAGUUGAUCUUCUUGGAAAUUGGGGUGAGAUGCUUCCUGGAGAUGCAGGCGGUGAUAAUUCUGAUGGAGGUGCAAUGUUGGAUGCAGGAGCAGAGACACUAUUUGUUGGAAGAUCAUAGGAUAAUGAGGCUAGUGGAGGAACAGUAUUGGGUGCAGGAGUAGAGGCACAUGGCUCGACAGGAGGUGCAGUAUCAGAAAAAAAAUCAAAAGCAGAAUUAUAUGCAUUAGAAAUAGGGAGAGAUAAAGUGUUAGGGUCCUUAGGCAAGCCACUGUCCAAUUUAUAGGGAAAGUGGUUUUCAUGGAAGAUUACAUGUCUUGAUAUCUCUAUGCUAUGAAACUUUAAAUUUAAGAUAAUAUAACCUUUUGUAUUUUGCGGGAAGCCAAGAAAAAUACCUUUGAUAGAUCUAUCAUCUAAUUUUUUCCUAUGUGCAGUAAUGGUACUAGCAUAACAGAGACAACCAAACACUUUUAGAAAGGAAAUGUCAUAUGGUUUUCCAAACAACNNNNNNNNNNNNNNNNNNNNNNNNNNNNNNNNNNNNNNNNNNNNNNNNNNNNNNNNNNNNNNNNNNNNNNNNNNNNNNNNNNNNNNNNNNNNNNNNNNNNNNNNNNNNNNNNNNNNNNNNNNNNNNNNNNNNNNNNNNNNNNNNNNNNNNNNNNNNNNNNNNNNNNNNNNNNNNNNNNNNNNNNNNNNNNNNNNNNNNNNNNNNNNNNNNNNNNNNNNNNNNNNNNNNNNNNNNNNNNNNNNNNNNNNNNNNNNNNNNNNNNNNNNNNNNNNNNNNNNNNNNNNNNNNNNNNNNNNNNNNNNNNNNNNNNNNNNNNNNNNNNNNNNNNNNNNNNNNNNNNNNNNNNNNNNNNNNNNNNNNNNNNNNNNNNNNNNNNNNNNNNNNNNNNNNNNNNNNNNNNNNNNNNNNNNNNNNNNNNNNNNNNNNNNNNNNNNNNNNNNNNNNNNNNNNNNNNNNNNNNNNNNNNNNNNNNNNNNNNNNNNNNNNNNNNNNNNNNNNNNNUUCUCUGUUUUGCACGACUACAAGUGUCACAUACAUGAUGAGUAUCAACAGUAAUAAAAGAGUAUUGUUUGCUUAAAACAUGUAAUCUUUCAUGUGAAGGGUGUCCUAGUCUAUAAUGUCAUACUGUUUUGUCUGUGAUAUUACAAUUAAUAAAAGGAGCAAAACAAUGCGGUUUAGAAUGACUAGAAGCAGGCAAGGUAGUGACAAGGUACAAGCCAGCGGUGGCUUUAACUGUACCAAUCCUCUCUUGAGUGAGAUUGUCUUGUAUAAUGCAGUGGGUUGAAGUGAAAGUUAAAGUGCAUUUAAGUUGGUGUGUGAGUUUAGAAACAGAUAUUAAGUUUAAUUGAAAAUGAGGCACGUAUAACACAUCAGACAAAUAAAACUUAUCAGAAAAACGUACUAAACCAGAAUAUGUGGCAUAAACAGUUUGGCCAUUUGGAAGACUAAUUAAGACAGGUUUAAUUUUAGUAUAAGUAGUAAAAACGUUCAAAUUGUGACAAACAUGAUCAGUGGUACCAGAAUCAAUAAUCCAAGAUUCUUUUAUAGAAGAUAGUGAAGAGAGAAACUUACCUAUUGAAGAAUGCUCAGUAUUGGGGAUUUCAUCCGUAGAGAUGGUGCCGACUUGAUUAAUUUGAGUGUGAGGGGCAGGAUCCUCAAGGUUUUGCUGACGCAAAAUGUUGGUAAGGAAUUGGCACUGUUGUGAUGUAAGUUGAAUUCCCUUUACAUCCUGUUCUUUAGGAAAAAGCUCAGAAAAAGUGUCAGUAGUAANNNNNNNNNNNNNNNNNNNNNNNNNNNNNNNNNNNNNNNNNNNNNNNNNNNNNNNNNNNNNNNNNNNNNNNNNNNNNNNNNNNNNNNNNNNNNNNNNNNNNNNNNNNNNNNNNNNNNNNNNNNNNNNNNNNNNNNNNNNNNNNNNNNNNNNNNNNNNNNNNNNNNNNNNNNNNNNNNNNNNNNCCUCAGUAUGACCAUAUUUACCACUAAAAAUUGCAUGUAAUAGUGUGACUACUAUUAAGACUAUGAAGACUAGGAUUUUCAUUAAACAUUGCCUAAAAGAUUUUUAAAACCAAUCAAGAUUUUGAAAGAGAACAGAAAAACCAAGAACAGCAAAGAGGAAAUAAAAAUCAGAGAGAAGCGCAGCAGAACUCUUCAUUCGAAGAGCUCUGAUACCAUAUUACAGUAAGUGAAGAUGAAUAUCCCUUGUCUGAUGUGAUGCUUUAAUGUAGCGUACGUUAUCGCACGUAAUCGUAAUGAAGAAAGAGAAGUUUUGAUGAACCCUAAUUGUAGAGAAAAAUAAAUAUAAAAGAAAAUUUUAUUCACUGGUAUAUUAGAGAGUAAAAUACAUAGUGUAUAUAUAAGAAAAAGAUUAAGACCUAGCUGAAACAGAAAAGGAAAGUUGGACCAAACAAACAAAGCCCAAUAAUUUAAAAUAGAAAAUUAAAUAUAUUAACAAUAUUCACGGGUCUUUUUUUCAAUGGCAUCUAUACAAUUAUCUUUUCUCAAAAUUCAUCUUCAUUUUCUGAAAGAGAAAUUAUUCUAAUUAAAUUUCUCUAUCUCGUAUUUUUUUUACAUGACUUUAUACUAACUUAUGCAUUUUUUAUUAUCAAUAAUAUUAGUUAUUAGAACAAAAAUGAUAGACAGUGAAUCAGUACAUCGAGUAUGUUUUCAAUAAAAGAGGUGAGUCACUUAUGUACACAAUUAUAUAUAGUUAAAAAGGUGAAAAUUAAUUAGAGAGAUGAGUGUGUUAAUAAGGGAUGAAUGUGAUUGACUAUGGAGAGGCGACUCGAGCAUGAAUGAGAAUGGUUAUGCAUGGGUGCAAGAAUGAAUGAGUUGUGAGCAUGAUUGAAUAUGGGGGACAAAUGAAACACUACUUAUGGAUUCUAACUUUAUGGCAUUAAUGGGAUUAAAAAUGUCGGUAAUAUCACAACUUAACGAGAAUUAGAAAAUUGCAGAUAAUGUUAUGGUGUUAACAAAAUAGCAUUGUCUACUGUUUGGUGUUAACAGAUUUUAAAAAAUAACUAGCAAUAUUUAGUAUUAAUAAGGAUGGUCUAAAAGGUUGUUAGUAAAUUGUUUAUCACUAAUAUUUUACCAAUAGUUUUGAGGACGAUGAAUGAUACGUUUAAUGGCUUUAAAUAACUAAUAAAACAAAAACCAUAAAAAACAUAAGAAAAUUUACUGUAUAAAAGCAUUAAGAUUAUUACUUUUGAAAAAAAAGUCGGUGAGGUGUAACCCUACUUAAUUAUAAAGAUAUUAAUAGUGUUCUAUUAUACCCUAUUAAACAUCAAUUAAGGGUCUUACAGUUAUCGUAGAAGAUUUUUUUCAAAAUAAUUGGUACCUCUAAAUCUUCUUCUACAUCAUAAUAACAAAAUCUGCACGAAAAAUAAAUAUGCAAACCUUAACCAACAUCGUCUCCAUCUAGGCGAAAUUUUAACUAUUUUGUCUGAGGUUUACUUUUACCUUUCCUAUCUUUGAGAGCAUGGAUAUGGAUAUUAAAUUUAUGCUAGUCCCUAGAUAAAAAAUGUCUUUCCCAUUAAUAACUUCCUUAUGAAAAUGGGUAUGAUCCUUCAACUUGAGAGGUAAAAUAUUUUUAAAUUAUUGCACUCCAACUUGAUUGUAAUUUCAUAGUGUCCUCCUCAAUAUUUCAUAGUGUCUUCCGUGAAAUUUGAAAAGGUAGGUAUUAAUGAGUUAUUUCUCGACAAGUGGAUUGAGUCAACUGUAGUACAACUGAUAAAGGGAUUGUCGUAUCCUCAGGGACUAUAAUCACAACAAAUGUGUCUUUCGUUAUAAAGUGUAAACAUAAUCAUGUAAAAUUGUACAAAUGAUGGUAAAUUAAACUGAAGAUAAAUUUUGUGAGGUUAAAAAUUGGUGUGAAAAAGAGAUGUUCUUAGAUUGAUAAAAGUUUUGAGAUUGAAUAAACCUUGUAACAUUUAUGUACUAAGUUAUCUAUAAACACAAUGUGAUUCAAGUUCAUUACUCCCUAAUACCAAAUCAAGUUAAUUCUUUAAUUAUGGUUACCUAGAAAGCAAACUAUCAUAAUCAAUCUAUUGACUUACAAUAGUUUGAUUUAUGCAUUACUAAUGGAGUAGAUGCAUUACUACAUGAUAAAUCUUGUAAGAAAACAAAUAAGGGUUAUUCAUACUCAAGUAAUAAAGGUCAAUUUUCUGAACGAAUUUCAAACUGCUAAGUGAAUUGCAAAUCGGUAAGCGAAUUGCUAAAUAUUGCAUUACCACCACCUUAGAUUUGUUGAACACAACCCCCACUUCUCAAGUGCAAGUAUGGAGAAAGGAAUUCAACAAGGGAAAAUUUGCUCAACACAACCCUCAUGCGCUGAGCAUAUUUGUUCUAAAGACAACUUUGACGCAGGAACUUGUCCUUUUCAUAUUUUGCUACAAAGGAAAUUUGUUGUGGAGAUUAAAGAUUUGUGGAUGUUACAAAAAAUUGUCCAACAUACGAGGACAACAUGAAUAUGUAUUUAUAGAUUUUUCUAUCAUUUUCAUUAAGAAGAACAAAUAAGAAACAUGAAAAAGAUAACGAGAAUAAAUAUCAGGUUGUAAUUUGUAUGACACGGAUGGUGAAGUUAUACAUAUAUAUAAUUAGAUUUACUAUUUGAUUCACGUGCAUAAAUUUUAAUUAUCUUUAUAGGAUAAAUGAGUUUCAAUGUAUGAGACCAAUUAAUGUAGUUUAAAUACCAUUCAUUUAAAUUCUUAAGGUCAAAUCUCCAACUACUAAUAAUUUAGAUUCUCACUUCUUAAAAUAAUGUCAGAUAUAAGGUAAAAUUGAGAACACCUUAUUCAAGUCAAACAAUACCAAUUAAAACAAAACAAUGAGGCUAGGGACCCUUACUUGACAAAGAAGAUUAUAAUUUGAACAAUAUACAUAUAAAAAGAAGACUUAAUGCAACGCAUCAUUCAUUCAUUGGGCUUGCUUUUCAUUUAUUUUGAAGAGUGCAAGUAUUUAUCGCACUGUAAUGUUAUUAUUUACAGAGAAAAUUGUUAUGAUUCAAUUCUUUUCAUUUUGAACUCAAAUUCCACCAUUUGGUUCCAAUUGAAUUAAAUAUUUUAGGAUAAGUUUGUUAGAGAUAAUGAAAGGAUAAAUCUUCCAAGUAAAUUGUAAAACAUAUAGUUCAAUAAUUUACUCCUUGAGAGUUUUUAAUGGAGUAGAAGAAAAGAAUCUAAUAACUUAUAUCUUCCAUUAAAUUUGUCAUGCCAAGAACAAUAACAAAGGGUUAAAAAAUCUUUUUAUUUUUAUGCCAAGAAUCUAAGUUUGUAGUCUUGUCAAUCUAUCUACUUAAGAUUCUUAUGACAAGUAGACUUUCCCAAGUUGUUAAGACCCUAUAUAAUUUUAUAUCCUUUUAAUUUAUUUGAAUUUUGGUGCAACUACUUUCGAACAUUUUGAUGAAAUAGACUUUCUGACGAUUAUUCUUACAUGCCUUUCUUAAAUACUUCAUUUCUUUAACAUAAAUCAUCUCAUCAUAUUAAGAAUCGAUCAUGCAAGAGUUAUUUCCUCCAUUCUACAAAACAUGUUAACAAAACUCUAAAUCCAAUUUACUAUGUAAAAUUUGUUAGUGUACCGGUAGGCUCCAUAUGAUCGAGAUGUUGGGUCUGUACGACUGAGACCAUAUCUUGGGAUCCGGUCGGGGUACCGACCGAGACCAAAAUUAAGGUUACGCUUAAACAGGAUUAGCAGAGAUAAUCAACAAUCAAGAGAUAGGAAAUACAUUUCUAAACAUGAACCAACUCUCUAAUAUGGCCUAAUAAGGAAGGGCCCAUGAUAAUUAUAUAAAUAGGCACAAAUUCCCUAAACCAGUUAUGUCAUCAUAGUGUGCUAAAACACCGAGUACCGAACAUUGUACUCACUUGAGCGUCAGAGUGUCUUUUGCAGGUAUCAUUCGAGAUCGAAGACCGCAAGGAAGAGAGAUAAAGCAGUGAGAGGGAAGUGGAUUGUCUAUUUCUAGAAGGAGGAAAAGAGUAUCGAUCGACCGACUAAAGGAGCAACUGCAAUCGUUCUUUGGGCCCCAAGUUCAAGAACGUUAAAUUAUUGUGUUAAACGAAACCUUGAAUUCACUUGUCUUGUAGGAUUUUCGUGAAAUGAAAGGUGAAACGAAGAUUCGUAUUCAUUUGUUAUCCUCAUAUUGUCAAAUGCAGCUUCAUAUCAGGACUUAGAAAAUCGUAAAUAAUAUUAUAAUGUUAAUGAAAUUGUAAGUAUAAUGUUUGAUAUUAAGAGAUUUUCAAACUGGCACUAGUAAUUUUUUUGUUAAUAAUGAUUUUAGUAAAUUAUUUAUCACUAAUAUUUAGCUGACAGUUUUUAGGAUUGUGAAUAAUAAGUUUAACGGGUUUAAAAUGCUAAUAAAAAAAACUAUUAAACAUAAAUUUUUGUAGUGUAUAAAAGUAUUAAGAUUAUUAUUCUAAAAAAAGUAAAUGAUGUGUGACACAACUUAAUUAUAAAGUGUUCCACCAAUACGAGAUUAGGCAGAGAAUUUUCGUCCUAUGAUGGAAGUUGGUACAAUUGUACACAUGGUUUUACUUAUUGGAGAAAUUUUAGUUAAAAAAACUCGCCAAAAUAUAAUUUAAUGGCUUACUAAUGUUAUUUGGAAUAUUAGAAAUAUUUAUUUUAUUUCACACUCAUCAAAACUUUUCUUAAAAUAAGUGUUUAGAAACAAAUUAAAAUAAAACUAAUUUAAAUAACAAAUUAUAAUUGAUUUGAUGAAUUCUUUUUUGAUAAUUUGAUUAAUUACUUUCACAUUCAAUCCUUUACUAUUAUCUAGCUUACAAUACAAUCUCAAUUAUUGAAGAAUUUAGUACAUACACUUAUCAGAAAAUAUAUCUAUUUAAUUUAUUAUUUUAACUAAAUUCACUUGUAUAUUUGAUUAAGUUUUAAAUAACAAUUAAAAAAAAACUUAGGAUGCUACAACUACUUUAGUAUAAUUAACAUAUCGAAAAUCUUAAAACAAAUUUUUAAAUUUGGUAAACCAUCAUUUUAAACUUUGAAGUAUAAAACAAUAGGAAAUAACUUAUACAAUGUAAAUAUUAUAGAUGAACAAUGUUCAAGUUACUAAGUUUGAUGCAAAUAAACAACUAAUAUGCAUUAUUAAAUACUUUCAUUUAGUGGAUCAUUAGUGGCAAUCUUCAUGGAAUAGCUUGAAGAACUAAUGAACUCGGACAUACGGUUGUUUGAUCAGAGCAUAUUCUUUCCAAAGUUUCACGUGGAUACAGAGAAGGCUUUGGAGGUAUUUUAAGGUUCUCAAUAUCUCCUUCAAGCAUUUCGACUACUUUAUUCAUAGAAGGACGAUCAUUUGGUUUUAAUUGUAUGCACCAAAGUGAAACUAUCAUCAUUUUUUUUGCAAUUUUCUUCUCAUCCUCUGUGACAUCUUCCAUUUCUAUAUCUUUCUCUUUGUCAAGUUGAUCGUAAAUCCAAAAGGGAAAGUAAAGUUGGCUUGAACGCUCUGCAUGAGGGUUUAAGUUUUUCCUCUUGCAUGCUAUUUCUAUCAGAAACAUUCCAAAACUAUAAACAUCAAACUUAUCUGAUAUUCUUCCUAUAUUUGUAUAAAACAAUUCUGGAGCCAUGUAUCCGAUUGUCCCUCUUGCUGGUGUCAUAGUCACAACACUUUUGUCUAUUGGAUAGAGUUUUGCCAAUCCGAAGUCAGAGACUUUUGGGAUGAAUUUUUCAUCAAGCAAGAUGUUGUGGGGUUUGAUGUCAAAAUGCAAAAUCUGCAUCUCACAACCAUGGUGUAGAUACGAAAUCCCACGUGCUACUCCAAUUGCUAUAUUAUAUAUUGUGUCAUAGGUUAAAUGCAGAUUUUCUUCUCUGGAAAAUAUAAAUUUGUCAAGAGAUCCAUUAGGCAUGAACUCAUAAACAAGAGCACGUUUUGAGCCCUCAGCACAAUAUCCAAUUAAGUGCACUACAUUUUGAUGAUGUAUUGUUCCAAUUGUUGCAACUUCAUUGAUAAAGUCUUGUCCAUUACCUUUUGAUUUUCGUAACACUUUUAUAGCAACAGAAGGUCCACUGCGCAACUUUCCUUUAAAUACAGAGCCAUAACCUCCUUCACCCAAUUUUUCAUUGAAACCUGUGGUCAUCUUCUUAAUUUCCUUAUAUAUGUAUCGAAUAGGCAUCAAACUAUUUUGCUCUAAAUAACUUUCAAUAUUUUCGGAUUGUGAGGAAUGUCUUCUUCUCCACUUGUAUGUCAUAAGAGCAAUAAAUAAUAUGGUGCCAACAACAUAUCUAACUAUGAGGUAUGGCAUACAAUAGUGUCCCAACAUAAUUAAUGCUGAUUGAUAUGCACCGUAAUGUUCAAGAUUUUGGUUUGGUCCAGUGAUUGUUAAAAACAAUCCUGUGAAUUAAUAUCGCAAAUGUCAUCAUGAUGUAAAAAAGAAAGAAAGAAAAAUCACACCUUCCUUGAAAUAAAAGAAUCACUUGUCAACUUUUUUUAUUAAUAUAAUAACAAUAAAAUCUUUAAACUUUUAAAUUUACUUAUACUUAUUAUUAAUUAUUAUUAUUAUAUUUUUAUUAUUAUAUUAUUAUUAUCAUUAUUAUAUAGAGCCAAUACAUUUUUUAUAAUUAUUUUUUAUGUUAUGUUUUAAUUAAAAAAAUUAUUAUUUAAUAAAUAAUAUAUAUAUAUAUAUAUAUAUAUUUUAUUUAAUAAACCACGUAAUUGAAUAAUUUAUUUCUACUAAAAAUAAUGUAUAUCAUUAAAUAAAAAGAAUACAUAUUUCAUAAGAAGAAUAGAUAUUUUGAUAACUAUCUUUAACGUCAUUUUUAAUUAGAUAAAUUUAUCUUUUAAUAAAAAAAAUAUUUUAUUUAAUUCAUAAAAUAAUAAUUAAAUAAUAUAUUUCUACUAAAAAAAUAAGUAAAUAACUUUUUUACUUAAAAAGUAGUAGAAACACAUAAGUUCUCGCUAUUGAUAUUUUCUUUAUUCAAACUAACGAAAACACAUAUUUCUCACAUGUGUAUUCACAUCUUUAUUAUAUUCAAAUAGAUAAUUUUAUAAUUUUUAUAUAUAUUUUUUAUGAAUAUUUAAUUAAAAAUAAUAUAAAUUAAAAUAUAUAAUUUUGAAAAAAUAGUAUUGUAAAUUAUAUAGCCGUUACUUUUAAAAAAGAAGCUACUUAAUUUUGUUAAAAUAAAUAAAAUUUAUUCAAUUAUUUAUUUUAUUAAAUAAAUAAAUAACUUUUAAUAGGUAAUUUUUUUUUCUGAUUUUAUAGGUAGUUAUUUAUAAACAUAGUUAUUUUAGCUUUAAAGAUGGCUAGUCAAAGGAUAAAAAUAGGAUUAAAAAGUUAUAUAGCCAUUAUUUUUUAAUAGAGAAGUUCUUUAGUUAUUUUAAUAAAUUUUUUACUUAAUUUUUUAUUUUAUUAAAUAACUAAAUUAUUUUUUAUUAAUAAAGGGUAAAAUUGUCCAAUUAAAAAUAAUUUUUAUAAUUUAGUAAACAAUUGUUUCUUAUUUCGUAGGUAAUGUGUUAUAUAAGUAGUUAUUUUAGUUUUAAAAAAUGUUAUUCAAAGGAUAAAACAGUGAGAGUCUGUGUACACAAAAUAGAAUAUUAUCUUUAUUAAUUUUAUAAUAGAUAAUAAAAUUAAAAAAAAAACAUAUUUCUAAAAGAAUGAUUUAAAAAUUAAGAGAAAUGUAUAUUUAUGUUAUUUUAAAGUCAGACCAUUACAAAAAAAAAAUCCUCUUUUCACUACUAAAGAUUAAAAUUAUCUAAGGAUAAAAUUAUCAAUUAAAAAGAUGAAACUAGAGAUAAAAAAAAAAUACUGUGAUGACAAAACUAUAUCCUUGAACAUAAGUAUUCGGUGGUUAGGUUAGGGUUUUGUCCUCCUAUGGUAAAGUUUCUCUUUUAAGUGGUUAGGGUUUCUCUAGUGUUGUGAGAUUGGGACAAAUUCUUCUAAGUUUUCAAAUUUAUUGGGGGUGUCUGAAUGAUCAAGGUUGAUCUUCACAAACUAAGUCAUCUUGUACGACUCAAGCACAAAAGAAGAUUUUUUCACAAGCUAGUGAUAUCUCUCUUUUACAGUUGUUUUCUUCUUGUAUCAAAGGAAAUUUGAUAUUUGUUUAGAUUGAUGAAGAUAUGUAUCUCGUAGGUCUUAAAGGCAGUAAAAAUCACCUUCAUGGAAGAAUAGUACUAUCUAAAGGUGACAAACCUCAUACUCAUAUGAACAUCAACUAGAAGUUGGAUCUUGCUUGAGAGUCUUUAGAAUCUUGGAAAGUUAUUCCUUUGAGAAAAGUGUUUUAGGAAUUUGUUUUUUCUUCCCUUGAAGACAUUAGAAGAGUCUUAGCAACGAGGUCUUGGAAUCUCAAUUUGGGUAUCUUGACAGUCUUUGUUUGAACCAGACUUUGUGCCAUCUUGCAUGAAACUCACCAAAGCUCAAUGUUUAAUCAAAAUCCACAGUCUUUCUAUGGAAUAUUGGCAACCAAAAACAAUUUUCUCUAAAGCAAGAGGAAUUAGUACUCCUAUUUCCCUCGAUGACUGCACAAUGAAUACAUUUAGAGGUUUUUUGCUAGAGUGUUAGUUGAUAUUGAUAUGCUAUAUACUUUGUCUAAUCAAAUUUUGGUGAAAAGACUUAGUUUUGCCUUUUUGCAGAUAUUGAAUUUGAGAAAUUGCCUCCAUUUUUCUCUUCGUGUAAAGUGAUAGGGUAUGAUAUUUCUAAAUGUAGACGAAUCCUGAUAACCUCAAUAACACAAUUAAACUGUCUGCUGUUUUAUCCAAACUUGUUCUAGAGUAUAGACUUGUGACUGUCUAGAAAAAAGAAACUAAUGAAGCCCUUCACAAGGAAGUGGUCACAGAGAAACAAAAUUAUGUAGUAGAGGGAUAAAUAUAUGAGGUACUUGUUCGUAAGGCAGGGGUGGUGGAAGUUGAAGGAGCUGUUAUUGAUCUUGAUACCCUAGUUUGAAGUUGUUGUUGGUCAAGUGGAGGCUGGAUCUCUUGUUGGUCAAAAGUUUAAGAAAUCUACUAAAGAAUUAAUUAUUGUUGAUAAUGUUUAAGUUGUUGUGGUUGUUGAUAUAAGGGUUGGUUCACGAUCUCAGGAUGAUAUUUUAGUUGAUAUGACGUCUUUGGAGAAUGUCCACGAAUCAAAUGAUUUGCUAAAAAAAAAGACUCCUUGCCUCUUAAAAAUUUUGGUCUUUUUGAAGGAUUCUCUCAUCUCAAAUCUGCAUCUAAUGCAACAAGUCUUACAUUUGUUGUUGUCCAACGAGUUACUUCUAAAUCUAUUUCUCAAGAUUUGGCCUUACAAAUUGUUUUGAAUCUUUUUCAGUGAAUAUAGUUGACCUUGACCUAAACCCUAAACCCUAAACCCCAAAAAUAUUUGUAAUGACUAUUUUCUUCUCAACUUUGUAUAAAGAAGAUAUAUAUAUAUAUAUAUAUAUAUAUAUAUUGUGAAGAAGAUAAAUAUAUUUGUAAUGACUCUUUUCUUGGUUUAACAUGCUCUAAACGAUUGGUGAGUGUUGAUAUGUCAAAGUGGGAAUAUAACAUUCAUAAUGAAGACAUGUUAUUUUAUAUAUAAAAAAAAAGUUUAAGAAAGAUUAAUUAAACACCAACGACGAAAGUACUAUAUUAGACCGACAUUGACAUUGAGAGACGAAUGCUUAGGGAACAAAUGCUUAGGGAACGAAUAAGAUUAGAUACCCUAAUAGUGUUAGUCGUAAACGAUGGAUACUAAACGUUGUGUAUAUCGAUCAAUGCAAUGUUGUAGCUAACGCGUUAAGAAUUCUGCCAAGAUAAUACGUUUGCAAGAAUUAAAUUCAAAGGAAUUAACAAAAAAAACUUGAACUAAACUAAAAGGAAAGUUGAUAAAGAGAGACACACCAAAAUGUACUUCAUUAUAACCAUGGGUGUCACAAAUUUCAAAAAUAUCAAGACCUUUAUUCAAUAAAUAUAUUUUACACUACUAAUUACACGUGGCACAUAAAAUAAUGUUAUUAAUGUUCCACUUAUCUUACAAGAAAAAAAUACAUGUCCAUUAAGUAAUUUUGUCAAAGAAAAACAUUUUCUUCUAUUCUUUUAUGAUUUUCCUCAAACUCAUAGCUCUUUACCCACUCCUUUUCGAUGUAUCGAGUUUCUUGACUAUUUUUUUGCUUUAAAUUCGAAAUUUUAACAACUACUUUUUAUGAAUGGACCACAAAGUUUUUUUUUCACAUUAAUGUCAGUUCUAAGUAGUUAAGUUUAUUUAAUAGUUUCAUUUUCAACCAAUAGAGAUACUUUUACUAAAUCAUCCCAAAUAUAUUUAUUGGAAGAUGCGCUUAUGUUUAAAGAUAAGUAUGGUUUAGGAUGUUGAAAUUUGCUUAUAUUUAAGUUCAUUAGUUUUUUUUUUAAAUCGAAAGUAAAGAGAGAGUAGUUAGUAGUCUUUAUGUGAUUCUUGGAACAAACUUUUGUUGUUGUCACAUACACUGCAGUGCUCAUUAGUCUUUGGCUUGACUUUUCUGCAUUAUUACGCGUGGAAGAUAUAGGACUUUUGUGGCAGUGAAUUUCGAAGAAUUUGAUAAGGUGGUCUCGUAUACGAGUGUGACUCUCACUGCAUUAUUGUUGUUUGGGGGAGUGAAUUCUUGGCACUUAAUAUGCAUCUACCUUGACAUUCAUAAAAGUAAAUGUAUGCUAAUUCUUAUCGAUAAACUGUGACAAGUACGGACCAAAUUAUGGGACUUCAUUUUUCCAUUAAAGAACUAUUUUAAAACGCAGACUUUGACUAAUUUUUAUUUUUAUUUUUUAUCAGCAAGACUUUGACUAAUGAGAAAUCAUAAGUCUUUUUUUUUUUUAUCUUUUCUGUGGUUUCUGCAACUGAUUGCAAAAGUAAAAAACAAAUAGAAAUUAGAAGUGUUAGCAUAAACUAAAAGAGGCACUGAGCUCGAUUAACAGCUGUUUUCUCGUAAGAAAACAAAAUGGCAAGAGUGUUGCUCCUCCAACGUGAUUGUGCAUUGAUGACGCUAUUCAUGCUUCUUCUUAUCAGAACUGGCAGCGCUCAUAACGAGUGCGAUGAGGAAUUGUCUUGUGGGCCGAACCAACCCCCUAUCAGAUUUCCCUUCCAACUCAUCAAGGAGAUGGACGACCCAUGCGGUUAUCCCCGUAUUUGUCUUUCUUGCUCUGAAAAAAACGAGACCAUGCUUGCGCUUCCUACGAUGAAACUCCUAGUCAGUGACAUAGACUACCGAAUUCAGGAAUUUAGCUUAACGGACCCCGAAAACUGCUUUUCCAACAAGUUUAACCAAACCAUCAAUUUUAUUCGAACUUACCAAUUCGAAUCACCAUAUGGUGGACCACACAAUAACUUGAGCUUCUUCAACUGCACUUCAGCUGAUCAUUCAAUCCUCACAUACUACUACGAGGAUGGCUCAAAUUCAUGAGACAUGGUCUCCUGUCCGAUUUGAUGGGAAAAAUGUACGCGGAAGCAAUACACACAAUCACAAAUCAACUGCAGAAAAUAAACAACACAUGAUUCGUGGUUCGGUCGCCAACUGCAACCUACAUCCACACGGGUAACUAUUAGGUUUUCAUUAUAUCAUGUUGCACACCAAUUACAAUGAUCUCUUUAAAUAGAGAUAAUAAAGGAACACAAUGAUUAAGCCCACUCACUAAAACACGGUGUCUACUCAGCCCAACCCAAUUGGUCCUGGCUUCAUACCUAACAAUCUCCCUCUUGAAGUCACGGAACAAUGUUCACCUGCGCUUCAACUGUGUACAUGGUGUCUUGUCAGCCCAACCCAAUUGGUCUUGACUUCAUACCCAACAAUCUCCCACUUGAAGUCACGGAACAAUGUUCACACGCUUCAACUGUGUUGUGUACAUGUACUUCUGUAGUCGACGGAACUCAAUGUUCCACAUCUAGUUACCACCAACCUUCUUAAUCAUUUUGAAUACUUCGUUAAAACUCCCUUGAGUUUCAACACGUCAGUCACUGACCCGUUCUCUGUUCCUACCGACUCCCACUUACAUCUAGGAACCUUAGCUGAAGCACAACUCGUGCUCCCACUGCCACAAGUACCUCUGACUGGUCUACCUGAACCUUUCCAUGCUCGUUCAUCCUGAAUCUGACAUGUGGCUCUGGGUUUCUCUCUUGUAAAGACAACCCUCUUCUGUCCACGAGAUUCUGUGAACUAGACUUUGUUUAUCUUCUGAACUGAGAUGGUCACUCCCUCAGACACGGUAAUCCAACCAUAUACAACGAACCUCUCUUUCUUCCACAGGCCAUGACAAGAUUUCCCUUGACGACCUUCCACUGCUAAUUUCCGAACAUCACUUCCUGUCCCUGUCCACUCAAUUGUCUAACAGAAAUCAAAAUUUUCGUCAAGCUUAGAACAACUCUGACAUCCUUCAAAGUCCAGAAAUCAACUGAAGUCUUCAACACUAUGUCACUCAUGCCCGUAACAUCAAGAGUUCUGUUGUCCGUUAGUCUUACCUUUCCAAAGUCUCUAAUAACUAGAUUAUGCAAUGCUUCAGAAUCCAUGACCCAGGAAUCCACACUGUUAUCCGCGCAACAAACUAAAAAUUCCUCGUCUGCGAAGUCUUCUGCAAUGUUGACUUAUUUAUCAUUUCGGCAUUGAUUCCUGAAAUGCCCCACCUCCUUGCAGUUCCAACAUGUUACACUUGAGCAAUCCCGAAUCUUUGACUAACUCCUUCUUUUGUUCUUGCUCCCACUAUCUCUGAUAUUUUUAUUACCUUUGAUGACAUAUAGCGAUUCACUAGAUAAUUCCCCAGAACUCCUUCUUCGGACAUCCUCGUCAAGAAUGAGAUCACGAAUCUUCUCAAAAGUGAAUCCAUCGGAUCCCGCUGAACUGGUAACUACUGUAACCAUUCCGAACCAACUGUCAGGCAAAGAUAAUAGCUGUAGUAAAGCUUGAACUUCAUCAUCGAACUUAAUGCCCAAUGACAUAAGUCUGACUAAGAUCGAAUUCGUUUUAUUGAUGUGCUCAGUAACUGAACUCGUAAAUCCUCAAUUUGCAUUUUCCACCAACUGAAAUUUGUACCAUCGAAUUUUCAAUUCGGAACUUCCCUUCUUCUACCAUCUCAAAUGACUAGACGAGAUACUCGGUACAACUAAUUUCAGAUUUUGGCAAUCUUUUUUUUUUAAAUUAAGACCACAAUAAUUGCAUCACCCAAAAUCAGUCACCAAUAGACCUGGUCGCAGUCCCCAAUGCACCGGCGCUCCGCCACACUGGACCGCAGCUGCCAGAACACGCACCGUCGCUGUUCACGCUCCGCACAACCACCGUCUGGUCACCGCCGUCGCACUGCAAUCCAUGUCGUCUCAGACCAGCACACGUGCAGAACGCACAUGCAACCCUAACUUUGGGAUGUCGUUGCCGCCCGUGCGAAACUCUAGCUUUGGGAUGUUGUUGCCGCCUCUGCAAAACCCUAACUUUGGAACGUUGUUGCCGCCUCUGCGAAACCCUAAGUUUGGGACGCUACUGCAGCCGCAAUUUUCACGUCUCGUUGAUUAAUUUCUGCUGAUCGGAUCUCUAGUGUGUAAUCGAACCAAGGCUCUUGAAUCCACUGAUGGGAAAAAUGCACGCGGAAGCAAUACACACAAUCACAAAUCAACUGUAGCAAAUAAAUAACACAUGAUUUAACGUGGUUCGGUCGCCAACUGCAACCUACAUCCACCCGGGCAACUAUUAGGUUUUCAUUAUAUCUUGUUUCACACCAAUUACAAGUACAAUGAUCUCUUUAAAUAGAGAUAAAUAGAGAUAAUAAAGGGACACAACGAUUAAGCCCACUCACUAAAACAUGGUGUCUACUCAGCCCAACCCAAUUGGUUCUGACUUCAUACCUAACAAUCUCCCACUUGAAGUCACGAAACAAUGUUCACCUGCGCUUCAACUGUGUACAUGGUGUCUUGUCAGCCCAACCCAAUUGGUCUUGACUUCAUACCCAACACGAUUUACAUUUCUUAUUCUUUUCAAAGUGUUCUCAAUUGGAUCUAACAUCCUGUACCAAGAUGUUCGACCUCACUGGGCCAAUCGUAUCCUUCAACCGGGGUAUCUUGUAUUUGAGAUGGUCCAAACCAAAUUGUGCUGAGUGCAAAAGAAAAGGCAAGAGAUGUACAUGGAAGACCAACAACACCACAGGAGACAUCGAUUGUUUUGAAUGCAAACGGAAGAGAAUUCACGUUCCUAAAUCUUUUACUUUUGCUUCUACAGGUAACAUCACAUUCGCUUAUUAAUAUAAUUCAACUCCUUAUUCCUACAAUUUAGGAUGUCAACAAUUGAAUGGCAUUAAAAAGUAUAAGCGUAUGAAUUGAAACAAGUAAUGUUUAAGUGUAAAGACUGAAACAAGUACAUAAAUAUUUCUUUUUUUAAUGAAGUCUCCAACCGCUAUUCUAGGUUCGAUCCUUUUGGGGCUGCUGGUCAUUGCUGUCUUCAAGAGCAUCCUCUAUUUUAGGAAAAAGCAAGAAGACCAAGAAAGAGUGGACAAGUUUUUAGAGGACUACAGGGCAGAAAAGCCUGCAAGAUUCACCUACGCUGACCUGAAAAGAAUUACCAAUGGCUUCAAGGAAAAGCUAGGGGAAGGAGCUCAUGGGGCUGUGUUCAGAGGAAAACUUUCGAGUGAGAUUUCGGUGGCUGUGAAGAUCCUCUACAGUACAGAGGGAGAGGGGAAUGAGUUCAUCAAUGAAGUGGGAAUUAUGGGCAAAUUCCAUCACAUCAACGUGGUGCGUUUGCUUGGCUUCUGUGCAGAUGGACUCCAUCGUGCUCUUGUCUACAAUUUCUUUCCAAACGGUUCCUUACAAAGCUUCAUAUUUCCACCAGAAGACAAGGACCAUUUCCUUGGAUGGGAGAAGCUUCAACACGUUGCUCUUGGUAUAGCUAAAGGGAUUGAGUAUCUUCAUCAAGGUUGUAAUCGUCCCAUUAUUCACUUUGACAUAAAUCCUCACAACGUGUUACUUGAUGACAACUUCACUCCAAAAAUCUCGGAUUUUGGCUUAGCAAAAUUGUGUUCAAAGAAUCCCAGUUUGGUGUCCAUGACAACUGCUAGAGGAACUUUGGGAUACAUUGCACCUGAAGUCUUCUCCAGAAACUUUUGGAACGUGUCUUACAAAUCCGAUAUUUACAGUUAUGGAAUGUUGUUGUUAGAAAUGGUUGGUGGGAGAAAGAAUGUGGACAUGUCUUCUCCACAAAAUUUCCAUGUUCUAUACCCGGAUAGGAUCCAUAACCUGGUUGAUGGAGAUGUACAUAUCCAUGUUGAGGAUGAAGGUGAUGUUAAGAUUGCAAAGAAACUAGCAAUUAUUGGGCUUUGGUGCAUUCAGUGGGAGCCAGUGAACCGUCCAUCCAUAAAAUCUGUGAUACACAUGCUACA
rnacentral:lncRNA from 1 species